rnacentral:miRNA from 1 species
CAGUGAAAUCUGAAUUUCAGCUAAACAACAAAUACUUUUUUAGUGUAAACAUAUCUUAUGAAAUAUUUGAGACAUUCUUAUACUAAAAAAACAUUUGUUGUUUCUCUGGAGUUCAGAUUUAACU